rnacentral:rRNA from 1 species
CCCAGACUCCUACGGGAGGCAGCAGUGGGGAAUAUUGCACAAUGGGGGAAACCCUGAUGCAGCAACGCCGCGUGAGUGAAGAAGUCAUUCGUGAUGUAAAGCUCUAUCAGCAGGGAAGAAAAUGACGGUACCUGAGUAAGAAGCCCCGGCUAACUACGUGCCAGCAGCCGCGGUAAUACGUAGGGGGCAAGCGUUAUCCGGAUUUACUGGGUGUAAAGGGAGCGUAGACGGCCAGGCAAGUCUGAAGUGAAAGGCGGGGGCCCAACCCCCGGACCGCUCUGGAAACUGUAGAGCUAGAGUGCAGGAGAGGUAAGUGGGAUUCCUAGUGUAGCGGUGAAAUGCGUAGAUAUUAGGAGGAACACCAGUGGCGAAGGCGGCUUACUGGACUGUAACUGACGUUGAGGCUCGAAAGCGUGGGGAGCAAACAGGAUUAGAUACCCCCGUACU